UACGAAGGGGGCUAGCGUUGCUCGGAAUCACUGGGCGUAAAGGGUGCGUAGGCGGGUCUUUAAGUCAGGGGUGAAAUCCUGGAGCUCAACUCCAGAACUGCCUUUGAUACUGAAGAUCUUGAGUUCGGGAGAGGUGAGUGGAACUGCGAGUGUAGAGGUGAAAUUCGUAGAUAUUGGAAGAACACCAGUGGCGAAGGCGGCUCACUGGCCCGAUACUGACGCUGAGGUGCGAAAGCGUGGGGAGCAAACAGGG
rnacentral:rRNA from 1 species